GAAAAACACACAAGCAGUUGCUCCCUGCCUGGCACAUAACACUGGGAAAGCGAUGAGCACAGUAGUGUGAACUGCCGUGACAGUGAAUUACAUCGCAACCCCGGCUGCUGAUCCCAACCCAGGCUAACUUCAACCAGUCGGAUCAACGAACCAUAUGAUGUGCAAAAGCCUGGCAAGAUGAAUUCUCGCCUGAGCUGUUUCUCACAAAUCCAGCUGCCUCGCAAGGUGGAACUGUUUUGUUUCUGCAUCACUACACAAAGGCUUCACUUACCAGGCUUUCCCGGUGAAAUGAGGCCUCGCAGCAGGACUUGGCACUUAAAGAGAGACUGUGACAUUUUUAUUUUACUUCACCAGAGAAAAUGAAAGGAAGAAAUGUCCAUAUGGUGC